rnacentral:tRNA from 1 species
GUGGCUGUGGCUCAGUGGUAGAGCGCUUGCCUAGCAUGUGUGAGGCCCUGGGUUCGAUUCUCAGCACCACA